rnacentral:rRNA from 1 species
GGGUUGUGAGGUUAAGCGAAUAAGCGUACACGGUGGAUGCCUAGGCAAUCAGAGGCGAUGAAGGACGUGCUAAUCUGCGAUAAGCGUCGGUAAGGUGAUAUGAACCGUUAUACCCGACGAUUUCCGAAUGGGGAAACCCAAUAUCCAAUGGAUAUUAUCAUUAACUGAAUACAUAGGUUAAUGAAGCGAACCGGGAGAACUGAAACAUCUCAGUACCCCGAGGAAAAGAAAUCAACCGAGAUUCCCCUAGUAGCGGCGAGCGAACGGGGAACAGCCCAGAGUCUUAAUCAAUAGCAGCAUCAGGAGAACGGUCUGGAAAGUCCGGCAGUAAAGGGUGAUAGCCCCGUAUCCGAAGAUGCUGUUAUUGUGAACUCGACGAGUAGGGCGGGACACGUGUUAUCCUGUCUGAAUAUGGGGGGACCAUCCUCCAAGGCUAAAUACUCCUGAUUGACCGAUAGUGAACCAGUACCGUGAGGGAAAGGCGAAAAGAACCCCGGCGAGGGGAGUGAAAAAGAACCUGAAACCGUGUACGUACAAGCAGUAGGAGCCUCUUUAUGGGGUGACUGCGUACCUUUUGUAUAAUGGGUCAGCGACUUAUAUUCUGUAGCGAGGUUAACCGUAUAGGGGAGCCGUAGGGAAACCGAGUCUUAACUGGGCGAAUGAGUUGCAGGGUAUAGACCCGAAACCCGGUGAUCUAUCCAUGGGCAGGUUGAAGGUUGGGUAACACUAACUGGAGGACCGAACCGACUAAUGUUGAAAAAUUAGCGGAUGACUUGUGGAUGGGGGUGAAAGGCCAAUCAAACCGGGAGAUAGCUGGUUCUCCCCGAAAGCUAUUUAGGUAGCGCCUCGUGAACUCAUCUUCGGGGGUAGAGCACUGUUUCGACUAGGGGGUCAUCCCGACUUACCAACUCGAUGCAAACUGCGAAUACCGAAGAAUGUUAUCACGGGAGACACACGGCGGGUGCUAACGUCCGUCGUGAAGAGGGAAACAACCCAGACCGCCAGCUAAGGUCCCAAAGUCAUGGUUAAGUGGGAAACGAAGUGGGAAGGCUCAGACAGCCAGGAUGUUGGCUUAGAAGCAGCCAUCAUUUAAAGAAAGCGUAAUAGCUCACUGGUCGAGUCGGCCCGCGCGGAAGAUGUAACGGGGCUAAACCAUGCACCGAAGCUGCGGCAGCGACACUAAGUGUUGUUGGGUAGGGGAGCGUUCUGUAAGCCUGCGAAGGUGUACUGUGAGGUAUGCUGGAGGUAUCAGAAGUGCGAAUGCUGACAUAAGUAACGAUAAUGCGGGUGAAAAACCCGCACGCCGGAAGACCAAGGGUUCCUGUCCAACGUUAAUCGGGGCAGGGUGAGUCGACCCCUAAGGCGAGGCUGAAAAGCGUAGUCGAUGGGAAACGGGUUAAUAUUCCCGUACUGGUGGUAACUGCGAUGGGGGAACGGAGAAGGCUAGGUUGUCCGGGCGACGGUCGUCCCGGUUCAAGCAUGUAGGCAGAGUGAUUAGGCAAAUCCGGUCACUUAAUGCUGAGGUGUGAUGACGAGCCACUAAGGUGGUGAAGCAAUUGAUGCCCUGCUUCCAGGAAAAGCCUCUAAGCUUCAGGUUACCAACAAUCGUACCCCAAACCGACACAGGUGGUCAGGUAGAGAAUACUCAGGCGCUUGAGAGAACUCGGGUGAAGGAACUAGGCAAAAUGGUGCCGUAACUUCGGGAGAAGGCACGCUGGCGGUAAGUGAAGUCCCUUGCGGACGGAGCCGAAGCCAGUCGAAGAUACCAGCUGGCUGCAACUGUUUAUUAAAAACACAGCACUGUGCAAACACGAAAGUGGACGUAUACGGUGUGACGCCUGCCCGGUGCUGGAAGGUUAAUUGAUGGGGUUAUCCUUAGGGAGAAGCUCUUGAUCGAAGCCCCAGUAAACGGCGGCCGUAACUAUAACGGUCCUAAGGUAGCGAAAUUCCUUGUCGGGUAAGUUCCGACCUGCACGAAUGGCGUAAUGAUGGCCAGGCUGUCUCCACCCGAGACUCAGUGAAAUUGAACUCGCUGUGAAGAUGCAGUGUACCCGCGGCAAGACGGAAAGACCCCGUGAACCUUUACUAUAGCUUGACACUGAACAUUGAGCCUUGAUGUGUAGGAUAGGUGGGAGACUAUGAAGUGUGGACGCCAGUCUGCAUGGAGUCAACCUUGAAAUACCACCCUUUAACGUUUGAUGUUCUAACCUAGGCCCAUAAUCUGGGUCGGGGACCGUGUCUGGUGGGUAGUUUGACUGGGGCGGUCUCCUCCUAAAGAGUAACGGAGGAGCACGAAGGUUGGCUAAGCAUGGUCGGACAUCAUGCGGUUAGUGCAAAGGCAUAAGCCAGCUUGACUGUGAGAGUGACGGCUCGAGCAGGUACGAAAGUAGGUCUUAGUGAUCCGGUGGUUCUGAAUGGAAGGGCCAUCGCUCAACGGAUAAAAGGUACUCCGGGGAUAACAGGCUGAUACCGCCCAAGAGUUCAUAUCGACGGCGGUGUUUGGCACCUCGAUGUCGGCUCAUCACAUCCUGGGGCUGAAGUAGGUCCCAAGGGUAUGGCUGUUCGCCAUUUAAAGUGGUACGCGAGCUGGGUUUAGAACGUCGUGAGACAGUUCGGUCCCUAUCUGCCGUGGGCGUUGGAAGAUUGAGAGGGGUUGCUCCUAGUACGAGAGGACCGGAGUGAACGCACCACUGGUGUUCGGGUUGUCAUGCCAAUGGCAUUGCCCGGUAGCUAAGUGCGGAAGAGAUAACCGCUGAAAGCAUCUAAGCGGGAAACUUGCCUCGAGAUGAGUCUUCCCUGUCACCUAGAGUGACCUAAAGGAACGUUUAAGACUAAGACGUUGAUAGGCUGGGUGUGUAAGCGUAGCGAUACGUUGAGCUAACCAGUACUAAUGAACCGUGAGGCUUAACCUGACAACACCGAAGGUGUUU